UCUCUCUCUCUCUCUCGUCAGACGCUGCAGUUUAAACGGGGAGGACCCCCCUCAUGCUCCAAUCUCGAUCCACACGUCACUUCCGGCUUCUUCUGUUGACAAUUAUCUCACACUCUCGUUCCGAUGUCAAUGGCUUCACCUGCCAACUACGUCGAUUCUGACUUGAUUUACGUCUUCUCUUUUCUCAGCCAACUAUAAGCAGAAGAGUUGGGCUUGUUGCUCAUCCAUCACCUUGCAGCUAGUUGGAGUUUCUCUCAUCUCCCGCCAAACCAUGUUCAUAAUGAGUUCAGCGGGACUGCCGAUUCUUCUUCUCGUGUACUUUACGUCAUCGAUGGUUGUCUUGCGCCCAUGUCUGUGUGGAGAAGCGACGACGAUUGCCGAUGCUCAGAGGAUCAGCGACGAUGCGAAGGCUGUGGAUCAAGGGGUAGCGUAUGUGCUUAUGGCUGUGGCUCUCCUUCUUACCUAUCUCGUCCAUUGACAACCGAUCGGAAAGUCCUCCUGCGAUCGUAUCUUGUUUUUAAUGCUGUAACAUUACUUACUCGGUGGGGAUUAAGGUUGGUUCUCCGUGAGAAUACUUGGGUGUAAUUUACCGAAUAAACUUCAGGCAUGGAGCAUCAUACGUA